UAGUCUGAAGUUCUACGUAACAAUUCAUUUACACUGAAUAAGUGAAUAAAAUAUUCCAGAUUAA
rnacentral:tRNA from 1 species